rnacentral:rRNA from 1 species
CGUGCCAGCAGCCGCGGUAAUACGGAGGGUGCGAGCGUUAAUCGGAAUUACUGGGCGUAAAGCGCGCGUAGGUGGUUUGAUAAGCGAGAUGUGAAAGCCCCGGGCUUAACCUGGGAACGGCAUUUCGAACUGUCAGGCUAGAGUAUGGUAGAGGGUAGUGGAAUUUCCUGUGUAGCGGUGAAAUGCGUAGAUAUAGGAAGGAACACCAGUGGCGAAGGCGGCCUCCUGGACUGACACUGACGCUGAGGUGCGAAAGCGUGGGGAGCAAACAGGA